rnacentral:rRNA from 1 species
UAGGGAAUCUUCCACAAUGGACGAAAGUCUGAUGGAGCAACGCCGCGUGAGUGAAGAAGGGUUUCGGCUCGUAAACUCUGUUGUUAAAGAAGAACAUAUCUGAGAGUAACUGUUCAGGUAUUGACGGUAUUUAACCAGAAAGCCACGGCUAACUACGUGCCA